AGAGUUUGAUCCUGGCUCAGGACGAACGCUGGCGGCGUGCUUAAUACAUGCAAGUCGAACGAGAAAGUAUCCUUCGGGAUACUAGUAAAGUGGCGAACGGGUGAGUAACACGUAAGUAACCUGCCCCCGGGAUGGGGACAACCCUGCUAACGCGGGGCUAAUACCGAAUAAUGCAGCAAGUUCGCAUGAGCAUGCUGUUAAAGGUGGGGCUCUUUUUAAGACCUACUACCUGGGGAUGGGCUUGCGGUCCAUUAGCUUGUUGGUGAGGUAACGGCUCACCAAGGCUUCGAUGGAUAGCCGGCCUGAGAGGGUGACCGGCCACACUGGGACUGAGAUACGGCCCAGACUCCUACGGGAGGCAGCAGUAAGGAAUAUUGCGCAAUGGCCUAACGGCUGACGCAGCAACGCCGCGUGACUGAUGAAGCAUUUCGGUGUGUAAAGGUCUGUUAGGAGGGAUGAAAACCACUGUCUUUAAUACGGGCAGUGCCUGACAUUACCUCCAGAGAAAGCUCCGGCUAACUCCGUGCCAGCAGCCGCGGUAAUACGGGGGGAGCAAGCGUUGUCCGGAAUCACUGGGCGUAAAGGGCAUGUAGGCGGAUUGUUAAGUCAGAAGUGAAAUCUACUCGCUUAACGAGUGAACUGCUUUUGA
rnacentral:rRNA from 1 species